CUUGUGGCUUUCAUAAAAGCCACCAACACAGCAAGAUAAAAGAACU
rfam:Stegodyphus mimosarum contig122767, whole genome shotgun sequence.